rnacentral:lncRNA from 1 species
AUGUAUAUGUGUGUGUGUGUAUAUAUAUAUAUAUAUAUAACCUUAAAAAUCUUCAGGGAGCAAAAAGACAUUCUUACUUUAUCAUUUUUCUUCUUGCACAGGUUGACAGAAGCCCUUCAGAAGAAUAAAAGGUACAUCACCAUAACUUCAUCUUCCAAUGGGUAUGUUCCCAGAAAACUUCAGACUUCAGUUCACAAGAUGUCCAUUAAAAUAAAAAGAAUUAUUCUCACAGCAUUUUCAGUCUGUGCAACACAAAUUUGUGAAGUAUGAGGAAACUAUCAGAAAAAUACAUGGAAGCUGGAAACAGUAGCAAACACUCUAAUUGCUCAAAUUACUCUAAUGUAAUAUUAAAACUCAUGAAUUUGUGUUCAAAUCCAGACAUCUUGUCAAAGCAUUACUGAAUAUCUGUUCUGUUGCUUUCUUCUCAUAGAAAAUCCUUUCUGUUUUUGUAGGCAGUGACACAACUUUUUUUUUUUUUUUUUUUUUUUUUUCACAAGCAUGUAUAAAAACACAUCAGGGAGACUGAAAAUUUGUUUUUAAGUAAGGACAUGAAUUUGGAAGGGUAGAGUGCGUGUGUGUGUGAGGGGGAGGGAAAGGUGCAGAAGAGGUGCAUUAGGCCACAUGAGGAGAGAGAAAGAUCAGAUGUCUGUUCAAUUUCAAAAUUUGGCAGCUGAAAUCUAUCCUUCCCAGAGGGAGUGUCAAUCUGUUUGUCCCUCUCUCUCCCCAGGUGGUGAUGCUAAAGAGUGCCCAACUUGAAACAGUCUGCUGCCAAUGAGUCUCUGAUUGUAUUGGUAUAGAGAAAGUGUCACAUGAGUGUGUGUUUGAUAAACCAGGAAGAAGGAACAGAUUCACAAACACAUGCUUGGAAAAGCUACACUUGCUUGUAUUGACUUAAACACUGAAGCAAGAUAAACACUGGGGAAAGAAUUUAUGCACCUCAGUAACAAUGUCGGCACAACAAAUAACAAAUUAAAAAUAAGAAUAAUGAAGAUGAUACAAGUUUUCAAAUAACCCUCAAUUGGAGGAGUGGUAUAGUCUUGCUAAUGUCACAGUCUUUUCUAGGUGAAACUAGAUAGACGUAUUUCGCUCUAAAAAUAAUCUGUCCUAUUUACUUCCAUAGAAACUACAACAUAUACAAAGGGCACAAUAAGACUUUUUAAUACAUUCUCAGCUAAAAAAUAUUUUUCAACUUAGUCACCAACAUUAGUUAUGCAUUUUUGUCAUGAUGAGCAAUAUCUUGUGAAUAGUGCUGAUGUUGGAGGAUGGAGGU